UACGUAGGUGGCAAGCGUUGUCCGGAAUUAUUGGGCGUAAAGCGCGCGCAGGCGGUCCUUUAAGUCUGAUGUGAAAGCCCUCGGCUCAACCGAGGAGGGUCAUUGGAAACUGGAGGACUUGAGUGCAGAAGAGGAAAGUGGAAUUCCAAGUGUAGCGGUGAAAUGCGUAGAGAUUUGGAGGAACACCAGCGGCGAAGGCGACUUUCUGGUCUGUAACUGACGCUGAGGCGCGAAAGCGUGGGGAGCAAACAGG
rnacentral:rRNA from 1 species